UCCCUAAUGAUGCUGGACUGAGCCGGAGCCUAAACUGUUGCUCUUGAGAUCUUGAGAUGUGAGGGG
rnacentral:snoRNA from 1 species